GAGAGAGAGAGAGAGAGCCCCUUUGCAGCUGACCAUGCUACCCAGAUGUUUCUACAUAAUGACAUCUCCUAGAGCCUGAAACAGGAAAUACCACUUCCAGGCAGAUAAGUUCUCAUCCUUCCCAGACCCUCCCAGCCAGCUUAUCUCCCUUCUCUUCCUUCUAUUCCAUUUUUGUCCCCCAAGCCAUCAGGUUCUAAGUGAUGGGAUUCUUGUUUCCUUUCUUGUCCAAUUAAAAUAUUUCUUGUCAUUUCCUUAACUUUCUCAAAAUAAAUGUUCGCCUUUCCAUUUCCUGAAGUCUAAGAUUAUGAGUGGGCACUGGAAGAAAGAAACCUACUUACAGACAGAGAACACACAGGAAGCCAUUUGGGAAGUACUGGUGGGUGCACUCUGAGCUGAUGCUGGCAGCCAGUGUUCUCAGGUUUCUCUGGGCUUUCUCAUUAAAGAAACUCUAUAGCACUUCUUUGUGAAAUGGCAGACUGGAAAUUAAUAUUAAUAUACCCUCUAAGGGUAUGGUGCUUUGGUGAUUAGGGUUAUUAUUUAUGGAAGCAGGGUGUAUCAACUUCAUCCUGAGUUCUGAGGACCCACACCUCAAACCUGCUGUAUGUAAAUGGACGUUUAUAGCUUUAUGUAACAAUGCAAUUCCACUGUAGUACUUGCUUACAAGUCUGCAUCAUCUUUAGAUUGAUAUGAACGCUGGUAAAUCUUUGCUGCUUCCCCUAUAGUUCUUCCUCUGUGCCCCAGCAGUUGGCGCAGCACUUCACACAAGUACACAUUGACAUCUGUACUUGUUCCCUCUCCAGCUUCACAUCUGUCUGCAGGCCACCAUGCUUCCCACCGUGAUGAAAUGGACUAAACUUCUGAACUAAAGAGAAGCGAUGUGACUAGCCGGGUGUGUGGUUACCCAGUUUUUCUUCUUUUCUGCUGGUAACAAAGGGAUCACAGCGAGCCAGUCUGGAGAAUACUGAUGAGGACAAAAGUCUUGAGGUAAUGGAGCAAGAAGAAGGAAGCUGGGUCUCCAAUGACCUCAUGGAACUAAGUGUCUCACGAAUCUAGACUUCUUG
rnacentral:lncRNA from 1 species